AAACUGGUAGUACAAUAAGAAAAGUAAAUAAUUACUACGAUAGAAAAAAAUGAUCGUGCCAAGACUCGAACUUGGGACCGUCUGCGAACUAGCAUGUUAAGCAGAAAUUAUAACCAUCUAAACCACACGACCUCUUUUGAUAAUUGCUUGCAUUAAUUUUAUAUAGAGGUUAACCAAGGGAUCCAUUUACUUAUAUUAUUACGGAACUAUGUUAUUCGUUUUCCAUGAAAUGAACUUAAUAAGAAAAACUGUUUAUGUGCAGGAUUUUUUUGUUUCUUGUUAACCCAAGAUUUGCCAACGAUAAUUAUUCGAUGGAUUACUCAAGUAACUUUCUGCAUGAAGGAUGCCUGCAUGCCAUGAGCAGCAUCCAACAUUGUAUAACUUUUGCAUAAAGAAAAAGAUUUCAAUUGAGCCGCCAAUUUUAUUCUUUCAAAUUUUUAAUUUCGAUCAUUGUGACCAUUAUAAAAGUGAGAAAAAGCUGCUGAAAAAACCGGAACUUAAAAUAUUCUUUCUUUGGCUAGAUAACUUUGUAACUUGGAAAUCAAAACAUUGCUUUCAAAGAAUUUCUACAUCAUUGUUUGAUGCAGGACUAAAAUGGGUAUAGUACUGACUAAUCGCACUGUAAAAACCCAUACCAACCCGUCCAUAUCCAGUUUUGCGAUUGGGUUCAAUCGGUCAUUCAUAUAAUUGAUAGUACUUGCAUUCAAUUGAGUACUUGCGCUUCUUUAUAUCAAAGGCAUUUUAAAAUGUUUACAAAAUAGCGCUUUAUAGUGAACAACAGCAUAAUGAUUUUGAUGAUAGCAAUCACUAAACGACACCAGCCUUCUCAUGAUUACGACAUUCUUUGUA